ACAUUUCUUUUCAGGUGCAUUCUUAUGAAGCAACUAACACCCCUGUGCGACCCUGUGCCCGUGGAGUCCUUGGCUCUGAUCUCAUAUCCGGCUGAAUGCUGUGGCUCUCAGGAACAAGAUAACUCACGCCAGAUAAGGAAGAAGAGGCUCAGGCCUGGGGGUACAUUGUCAGUUUACAGACCUUCGGCCAGAGGCCUUUCUCCGGAGCGUCAGGACACAGCGAAGUCACAGAACAGAGCAGAUUUCCCAGGAGCAGCAGAACAUGAUCGAGUCACAGGUGAGUUACUUGCUUAUCCUCCAGCAGUUUUCCUCUGUGCAUGUGACGAGGCGUAAGGAGCCUCUACAACCAACAGGAAAGGUCUAAACACAUUUACGACAUAAUCAGAAAAUACAAACUUGGGAAAGAAGAUGCCAAAAGAAGCACAGAGUGGACUGCAGAAUCAUGCAAGAGCCUUAAAGUGGAGCCCAGACAGGUAAGGAAUGAGGCCCUUCACUACUCGGGUGGAGCUGCAGGCCUCCCCAGCUGUUCCAGAAGCCUUGUCAAAAAGGGAAACAGGAAUAGUCACAUGGGUCCCUCUGUCAAAAAGCAGACCAGUUACUCAGCCGAAGCAAACAUUUCCUAACAGUUGCACAUAAAGAAAACAUUUUGACAGCUAUGUAUGUAGAUGAUAUAGUGGGCAAAGUCCUAAAUAGCAGCCUUGUAAUAUGUAAAUCCUGCGACAAAUGAGCAUAUUUCCUAGGGCUGUUUCUCACCAAGUUCCUCGGUGUAAGCUCAGGGGGAACUCCGAACACACAGUUAGGGGAGAUGGGAACAGUGGGCCUGGACUGAUUAUUACAAAACCGUCAAAUGGCCCCCAUAAGCCUCCUCUCAGUUGGAAUUUUGGUACAUUUUAGGUGGAAAUGUAUUUGCUUCUGUUGGCAAAAGCGGGACAUGAGGGUAUCUGCCUUUUGUUCCUAUUCCUUCUAGUCCUAAGCUCUGUUUCCUGACUGUCUCAAUUCCAGAAACGGACUGCAGUGUCCCUUCACCUUUCAGAGCAAUUCUUGUCCACCUAGCUAACCUCCCCUCGCUCUUCUCUCCCUCCGUCCUUUCCUUUCUUUUAAAAAUUCUAUUGUUUGAACUGACAUAUGGCAACACUGACUUCCCCUUUUCUGACGUCCAAUUCUCUGGCAGCUCAGCUGAGCUGAGAGCGAGCUGAGUGGCCAGGUGUCAGAGCAGCUGAUUAAAGCAACAGCCAGAAUGAAAGUCACAGUGGAGCCUGAAUCACUUACUGCGAUGGUGCCUUCAAGAGCACAACCAUGUUCCAGUUCCCCAGGGAGCAGUGCACUGGUCCAG
rnacentral:lncRNA from 1 species